rnacentral:rRNA from 1 species
AUGGUGGAGUGCUCCUUGUCCCGGAGAUCAAAGACGCGGACGGAGCCAUCGGCGGAGACGGAGGCGAAGACGCCGGCCUCCCCCCAGGCGAUGUCGUGCACGGCCUUGUCGUGCGCGAUGAGCUGCGUCUCGACGACGCCGCGCUCGAUGUCCCAGACGGUGCAGGUGGUGUCGAUGGAGGCGGUCCCGAUGCGGCGGGGCUCGAUCUCGUUCCAGUCGAAGGAGGUGAGGGGCGCGCAGAAGUCGGAGGCGGAGGCCUUGCGGUUGUCGAGGACGGAGCGGAGCUCGGGGGCGGGGGCGGAGGCGGAGAGGUCGUCGAGGGGGGCGUGCCAGAGGCGGAGGGCGUCGGAGGAGGAGGCGAGGAGGGGCGUGGAGGCAGCGCGCGGGUUGAACUGGAGCUUGGUGGGCGGGUAG